GCAAGUCGAGGGGUAACAGGUAGCUUGCUAUGCUGACGACCGGCGAACGGGUGCGUAACGCAUAUAGAAUCUGCCUUGUACAGGAGGAUAGCCUUUAGAAAUGAAGAUUAACACUCCAUAAUGUAGGGUUUCGGCAUCGAAACCUUAUUAAACAUUUAUGGGUACAAGAUGACUAUGCGUCCUAUGAGCUAGUUGGUAAGGUAACGGCGUACCAAGGCGACGAUAGGUAGGGGGUCUGAGAGGAUUAUC
rnacentral:rRNA from 1 species